CCUACGGGAGCAGCAGUGGGGAAUCUUGCGCAAUGGGCGAAAGCCUGACGCAGCAACGCCGCGUGCGGGAAGAAGGCUUUCGGGCUGUAAACCGCUUUCAGCAGGAACGAAAAUGACGGUACCUGCAGAAGAAGGAGCGGCCAACUAUGUGCCAGCAGCCGCGGUGAUACAUAGGCUUCAAGCGUUGUCCGGAUUUAUUGGGCGUAAAGAGUUCGUAGGCGGCCGAGUAAGUCGGGUGUGAAAAUUCUGGGCUCAACCCAGAGACGCCACCCGAUACUGCUUGACUUGAGUUCGAUAGGGGAGUGGGGAAUUCCUAGUGUAGCGGUGAAAUGCGCAGAUAUUAGGAGGAACACCGGUGGCGAAGGCGCCACUCUGGAUCGAUACUGACGCUGAGGAACGAAAGCAUGGGUAGCAAACAGGAUUAGAUACCCUGGUAGUCCAUGCCGUAAACGGUGGGCACUAGGUGUGGGUUUCUAUUAACGAAAUCCGCGCCGUCGCUAACGCAUUAAGUGCCCCGCCUGGGGAGUACGGUCGCAAGACUAAAACUCAAAGGAAUUGACGG
rnacentral:rRNA from 1 species